UUCACAAGAAUUUAGAGAAUUUACGAUAUGGUUUUGUGGAAAAUUGAAAGAACCCACUUGGUAAAAAAAAUGAAAACUCUGAAACUCUGAAGAUAGCAUUAAAUAUACGACGUUUAAAGGAAUCGUCGAAACUUACACAUGUAGAGAAACCGAGAUAAGCUGAAGUUGAAGUCGGAGAUGAUAAUCAUUAUAGUUCAGGUGUCAGUGGCAGUUUAGAAUACAAUAACUUGACCGUUUAUUUGGAAACAAUAAGUAAAAAGACCAUGACAUUAGCUAUAGCAAAACUUGGCAAGCUGACCAACCAACUGUGCAACAGGAAAAUGUUAGAUUCAUCUCUUCAGCUGAACAAGAAUGAUGUUCUUGAAAUAUUUAAAAUUAUUUGAUAUCCAAAUUUAAAGGACAUGUGAAAAUGAUAAAAUAGUAUUAUCCGAUGAGAUUGUCAAUUGUUAAUUCAUUACAAAUUAUUUAGAUAAAAGAAAAAAAUAUAAAUUGGACACCCUGAAUAACUUUUAUAUUGUGUUGUUUGAAUAAUUACAAGACAGACUGUCAACGUGUAAAUGUAGUGUACAAACGAAAUAUGAUCAGCUGGAUGAUUCAUAACCCGCAUCAACGAAAUAGGAGGGUGAGGCAAUACACUGAAGGAGUCAUACUCUGCAACCGCAUAAUAGGAGGGUCUAUCAAUACGCUUGGGGAGAUUCGUAGACUGUAGCAUUGAUAGAGGA